GAGCGACGAACAGGCUUCGGCUGGGGCAAACCGCGAACGGGUGAGUACACGUGGGUAACCUGCCCUGAUGAUCGGGACAACCCGAGGAAACUCGGGCUAAUACCGAAUGUGCCCUCCGGCCACAAGGCCGCUGGGGAAAGGAAGCUUCGGCCUCCGCAUCGGGAUGGGCCCGCGGCCCAUUAGUUUGUUGGUGAGGUAAUGGCUCACCAAGGCUACGAUGGGUAGCUGGUCUGAGAGGACGAUCAGCCACACUGGGACUGAGACACGGCCCAUACUCCUACGGGAGGCAGCAGUGGGGAAUCUUGCGCAAUGCGCGAAAGCGUGACGCAGCAACGCCGCGUGGGGGAAGAAGGCCUUCGGGUUGUAAACCCCUUUCAGUUGGGACGAAGCUCCGCCGGUGAAUAGCCGGCUGGAGUGACGGUACCUUCAGAAGAAGCCCCGGCUAACUACGUGCCAGCAGCCGCGGUAAU
rnacentral:rRNA from 1 species